rnacentral:tRNA from 1 species
GUUAUAGUAGUUUAAUUAAAACAUUGGUCUUGUAAACCAAAAUUAGAUUAUUAUCUUUAUAACU